rnacentral:rRNA from 1 species
UACGUAGGGGGCAAGCGUUGUCCGGAUUUAUUGGGCGUAAAGAGCGUGUAGGCGGCCAGGUAGGUCUGGUGUGAAAACUCGAGGCUUAACCUCGAGAUGUCAUCGGAAACCAUCUGGCUAGAGUCCGGAAGAGGAGAGUGGAAUUCCUGGUGUAGCGGUGAAAUGCGCAGAUAUCAGGAAGAACACCAAUGGCGAAAGCAGCUCUCUGGGACGGUACUGACGCUGAGGAGCGAAAGCGUGGGGAGCGAACAGG